rnacentral:rRNA from 1 species
UGCAACUCGACUACAUGAAGCUGGAAUCGCUAGUAAUCGCAGGUCAGCAUACUGCGGUGAAUACGUUCCCGGGUCUUGUACACACCGCCCGUCACACCAUGGGAGCCGGAAAUGCCCGAAGCCAGUGACCCAACCUUAGGGAGGGAGCUGUCGAAGGUGGAGCCGGUAACUGGGGUGAAGUCGUAACAAGGUACC